rnacentral:rRNA from 1 species
CACAUGCAGUCGAACGAUACUCUUUAGCUUGCUAAGCGUAGGAAAGUGGCGCACGGGUGCGUUACUGGGCUAUGAACCUACCUUAAUCAGGGGGAUAGCCCGAAGAAAUUCGGAUUAACACCGCAUAAAAUCACAGCACAGCAUUGUGCAAUGAUCAAAUAUUUAUAGGAUUAAGAUGGGCAUGCGUGACAUUAGUUAGUUGGCGGGGUAACGGCCCACCAAGACCACGAUGUCUAGGGGAUCUGAGAGGAUGACCCCCCACACUGGUACUGAGACACGGACCAGACUCCUACGGGAGGCAGCAGUGAGGAAUAUUGGUCAAUGGAGGCAACUCUGAACCAGCCAUGCCGCGUGCAGGAAGACAGCCCUCUGGGUCGUAAACUGCUUUUAUUCGGGAAUAAACCUGCUUACGUGUAAGUAGCUGAAUGUACCGAAGGAAUAAGGAUCGGCUAACUCCGUGCCAGCAGCCGCGGUAAUACGGAGGAUCCAAGCGUUAUCCGGAUUUAUUGGGUUUAAAGGGUGCGUAGCGGCUUUUUAAGUCAGGGGUGAAAGACGCUGGCUCAACCAUCGCAGUGCCCUUGAUACUAA